rnacentral:rRNA from 1 species
AUUGAACGCUGGCGGAAUGCUUUACACAUGCAAGUCGAACGGCAGCACGGGGGCAACCCUGGUGGCGAGUGGCGAACGGGUGAGUAACACAUCGGAACGCGUCCUGUAAUGGGGGAUAACCUGGCGAAAGCCAGGCUAAUACCGCAUACGUCCUGAGGGAGAAAGCGGGGGAUUGGCAACGACCUCGCGUUAUAGGAGUGGCCGAUGUCGGAUUAGCUAGUCGGUGGGGUAAAGGCCUACCAAGGCGACGAUCCGUAGCUGGUCUGAGAGGACGACCAGCCACACUGGGACUGAGACACGGCCCAGACUCCUACGGGAGGCAGCAGUGGGGAAUUUUGGACAAUGGGGGCAACCCUGAUCCAGCCAUUCCGCGUGAGUGAAGAAGGCCUUCGGGUUGUAAAGCUCUUUCGGCCGGGAAGAAAUCGCAUCUCCUAAUACGGGGUGUGGAUGACGGUACCGGAAGAAGAAGCACCGGCUAACUACGUG